ACAAGCAGUGGCAGGAAGAUGGAGUCACAGACCCAGGUCUUCAUAUUCCUACUCCUCUGGAUGUCUGGUGCUGAGGAAAACAUUGUGAUGACCCAGUCUCCUGAAUUCAUGUCCACAUCUGUAGGAGACAGGAUAACCCUAACCUGCAAAUCCAGUCAGAAUGUGUAUAAAGGUGUAGCUUGGUACCAACAGAAAUCAGGGCAGCCUCCAAAACUGCUAAUCUAUGGUGCAUCCUAUCGGCCAACUGGGGUCCCUGAUCGCUUCACAGGCAGUGGAUCUGGGACAGAUUACACUCUCAGCAUCAGCAGUGUGCAGGCUGAAGAUCUGGCAGUUUAUUACUGUCAGCAGAGUGUUAGUACUCCUCCCUCAGGCAUUUAG